UAUAUGGAAAGACUUUCUUCUCAUUGGUCAACUCAUAUGUCAUACGACGACUUCCGGAAAUUGGCGUCUCCAUGAAUACCCAGAGAUCCGUAUCUCUUCGUGACGGGUAUUUCAAUUUUUGUGUUUUUUUUUAUAAAAAAUGAGUUUUGUGUACACUGUUUGUUCGUAAAUUCUUGUUUAUGCAUCGCUCAGCUUCUGCAAAAAAUGGUGUCCCGACGAAUUGGAUCAAAGGGUGACGCUCCAGAGCACGACGCAGCCUUCUUCCGUAGAGGAAACCUGGAUCAUCCCCCGAACUUGAUGUUCUGCCUUAGAUGACCUAUGUAGCAUGCAUAGGGCCGUAUCCAAGGAGUCACCACCCUCUGGUUUACAAGCUAGGUGUUCUAAUGCUAGAGGCUUCGGCCGGAUACGACCUGGCACCCAAGCUUCGAGAUUUCGUGCACGUAUUGCGUUGGACCUCGAGGGCGUAGGGGACGGGAUACGGAUACUCUUUAUGGAUAGAAAUUCGGGGUAGGAUACCCCAACUCAACCUAGAACCAACUAAAGAUAAUUCGAGUUCGUCGCUCAUUUAAAUCGAAGAAGAUUUCAGAUGAAAUAUUGCAAGACGCCUGUGAUUAGUCCUAGAGCUUCUUUGGAUUCUCCCAAUCACCGUCGAGUACUUGUUUAAGUACCAACUCUACAGAAUCGUCCGAUGUCCAGAGAGUUGCAGACAUUUUAGAAGUGGUCAAUGCAGUGCUCAUUAUGAGAAAGCACUUUUCUUCAGCUGAAUAUUCCUUCUAUAAAUGAAAUACAGCAAUAUGGUCUAAAGCCUCUGUUCUGUCCUCUCUUACACUCACAAUGUAACAGCUGUAAAACUAGAUUGUCCUAGCUCAUGUAACAAUCUGACAGUUGUAACGUUCUGUUACACAUGGAAUACUACAUGUUGAUGGAACAGCAGCUGUAAAUUGUCUUGACUUCAAAUCUCAUAAUUGAUAAAACUACCAGCAUUCUUCUUAAAGGUAUUUAUUUUGCUGCUUUUGGCUGUUGCUUCAAUACCAAAAGGAGUCUAUAUGUAUAGGAGUUUAUUUUUAUUCUGGUACUGUUAUAAAACUUGAUAAUCUGGACAAACUUCAGACU
rnacentral:lncRNA from 1 species